AAUGUUAUAAUUACCGUGGCAGAAAAGGACUUGAGUCACAUGACACAGUCCGGCAGAAAAGUUGCAGUGCCCAAUGUUCUGAAAACCGGUUCGGACAAAUGUUAAAACUACCAAUUUCAAAAACUACAAUUGAACAGUCGAAUCGGCCGGGAACUGGUCGGUCGAACCGAACCGUGACCCAGCUGGUUUUUUGAAUAAGGGGAAAAUGAAGAACGCGUUACUCUGUGCUGUGCCCCUCCCCCUUUCGUUCCUAACUUUCCUUCCUUCAUUCUCCUCAGAUCAAAGAAAGAAAACCCUAGCUACUCUCCACAGUCUCCGAAUAGAGUAAGUGAGCCAUUACCGUCGUCCGUGGUUGUCCGAGGCUUCUCUCUUCUUCCUCGCUUGGCGUCCAUCCUCCAUCGUCUUCAUCCUACGCGCCGUCGUCUCGUCGCCGUUUGUUUAUUACAAAAAAAACAAAGCUUCGGUAGCGUUGAGAGCCCCUUGCCCCUUCUCUCCUUCUUCAUUUUCCAGAACUCAACUCAACUCAACGUCAAGGCCUCUCAACCAAAGAAAAAUUUAAAAACCCUAGCCUCAGCUGCCGUUCAUUUGUCCAUCGAUCCACUGCCACCGUCUGUUCAUAAAACCCCAGAGCCCCAUACUUCAAAGAUGCUUACUUGGGUAUCCCUUCAAGUGUCCCAAGCUGCAGAUUACUCCUAAGAAUGGCUUAUCAGAAAGUGACACUGAUAAACUAUUGUCACUCCUCCAUGAUCAGAUAUGAUCUUGGUUUAUACCUCAGUAUAUGUCUCUACUCGUACGCUUCAGCGUUGUUGUUGAAUUGUUGACCUUUGGUGCAUUUGUUGUGUUAUAGGUAGUGUUGUAGUAAUAUUUAUGGCUAGGAUGAAUAUUGGUUAGCAAUAGAAUGCUUUGAUAUUUUUGGUUCCUUGGUGUCAAUGUUGAGAGCAAUUAAGAGCAAGCAUAUGUUAUGAUGCCCAAGUUGGUAGAAAAUGAGCCACAAGGUGGAAGAAGUAUCAAGUAUGUAUUAUUAAAUUAAAAGAUUUUUAAAAGCAUGACUUGUACAUUAUCUAAAGAAAGUUGAGGUAGGAUUCAAUAUUGAGGUAGUUGAGACCUGAAUGGCAAGAACAAGUUACUAAACCAAGCAUAUUUCUAUGUAAUCUUAUUUUGAAUUCUUCAUGUGUUCUUCCUUCUUUUAAUUCUUUGAAUGUAACUACUGAUCUUUCUUGGUACCCAGGAGUUUACUAGACAUGUUUCAGUUCAAUUAUUUCCUCACUUCAUUUCAUUUAAUCAUAUAUUCAUGUUCUUUUUCUUUUCC